rnacentral:lncRNA from 1 species
AGUUAGGGUGAUCCCAGGUUAGAGGCGCCCAGGCUAGAAGGGCCCGGCUCUUGGCCCUCGCUGUCCUGCCCGCUGUCGCCGCUCUUUGGCGCCCCCGCAACAGCUCCCUCUCAGCAGGACGCGGAAAGGGCUUGUAUGUGUCCAGGAAGUCUAGUGAAUUCGACCAUGAAUCCAGACAUGGCCAGUGGCUAAAUCCUGUGGGAAGACACUGUGCUUCUCUCUGACCCAUGAACACUCUGCUAGUCAAGCUCUCUGUCACAAAGACAACUUGAAGAGACAGAGUGGACCUCACAGAAGAUACCAUCGUCACUCUUACCAAUGCAACUGUGGUGAACAGGACCACUAUUAUUCCUUAGAUCAAAAGGACAGCACAUUCAACAGCAUCCUCAUGGCAUGCCAGCAAUUUGCAUAGGAUGUUCACAAUUAAACUUUGAUUAUCUAGUGCUUUGUGGAUGUAUUAUGUAUUACAGAAAUCUAUUUGCAACAUGGA